CUGAAAUGUACCAUCAAGAUAUACUUUACUCAAAUAAUUUACCUUGGCCGAUCAUGUAUAAUGUUUUGUAGCUUAAUAAAUUUAACAUACAUUAUGUAUUCAUAAUAUUUGUGUAGCCAAUUAUCCAUGGUCAUACACACACAAUCAAAAAUAAAUACCAAAUUUUCAUAUCCUUUAUGCCCUAAGCCGAAUACACUUGUCAUGUUCACCUACAUUUUUCAAGUACAACAUUCUCAUAUUCGGC
rnacentral:lncRNA from 1 species